rnacentral:ncRNA from 2 species
AGGGAAAAAAUGUAACUUGGUAAAGAAAUAAUUUUGCGUUUGGUCCACCGGAAGAUGGUGCAAAUCCAUCGCAGACGCGCUGCUGUAACCGGAAGUAUGCUCAAAAUAACGUUCACUGGGUCCACCUGGGAAGGACGUUUGGAUUAAAACAUGAGUCCGGAAGCCAGAAGACCGACCAACGCAGAAGCAGUUGA